GUUACUCCUCCUUUCGAGCACCAAGUAGAAGACCCUUUCCGAUACACAUAGUGUUGACGAGUUUUAUAUAGUUGCAGUUCUUCCUCAGUCUCCCCGACAGUAUCACGCAACGUAUAAACCAACGUUCUUAAAUGAGUUUUUGUCUUUCCAAAUUCAAGGGGCGGCUGUUUGUCCUGUUGGUCUCCUUACAGGUGCUAGCCAGUAUGAACACGCUGAAUAGUCACGCGGUCGAUGCUUCCGUUUUUCAAACCCUUUUAAAACGAAGACCGUUUGAUUACAAAGGUGGACAUUUCGGCAGCAAUCCGAAUCGUGGCUUUAUAAAAGGACAUUUGCGUCCCGAAGAAUACCAAUACGGUCCUGACGAAAUACCUUUCAUACUCUACAGUUGAUUUUUAUACCCGUAGUAGGAGGAAAGGAUAAAGUCCUUUUUUUUCAAGCCAUACGAUAUAUCACAAGACACAUAACCAACUGAAUCACACCGCCAUAUCAGUUUCUCUCUACGGAAUUCCUACAAAAUGAACUCUUUAACGGAUUUAAACAGAUAAAAUACUGUAGUUACUAAUAUGCUUAAUAAUUUGUUGUGCAUUCGAUUACAUUCCGCGCUCUGGCUCUUACAUAUAUAUACGUGUACUAUUUAGUGUUUAUAUAGUUGUAAGACACAACGUCAAAGCUUUCACCAGCGAGGCUUUUCGAUUAGAAAGUCAUGUUUUUGUGUGCUGGUUUAUUUCAGCAGGGUUGGAUCACGCAUGAUGGAAAAUCAAGUUGGAUGUCUUGCAGGAACCAAAGGCCUCUUUUAAGGGCUUGCAUUAAUGAAGACUCAUUAAAAAUGGGCGAGUCUCUUUCAAUGCAAAACUCAUCAGAAGAAGACAAACGUCUCUUGUCGUCAUGAUCGACGUUGCCGGGAUGCGUUUGGGAACAAGGAAAAUCCGAUUUUCUCAUGGCUCCACUCGGUCGGCCUUUAAUUGGUCAUGUAACACUUCUCUAACGACAAUGCUACUUAUUGAUUGGUAUGCUGCAAAUAUUGUUUAGACAUAAUGGAAUAACGAGAUAACAUGUUGCCCAAAAAACUAAACAUCCAACGUUGUUUAAUCGUAGAAAGCUGUAAGUUGUUUAGUUCUUACAAGGCGGAAUGGAAUGGUCUGCACAAUUUCAAUGUAUCCAUUUUUCUCGCUACUGCUGAUGGUCGUUCUUCUGAAUAUCUGAAACGUCUGUCAGUCCACGAGCGAUCCGGACAAUAGGCCUACCCAUCAUGGAAUGACGGGCUUACGUCAUCUUACCUAUACGAGUAUGACUUUGUUUUCCUUUACCGAGUUGUUAUAAAAACAUCAGUAGUCUAUAACCACUACUCAGUGAGAAUGCUAACAUGUUAUAGGCUAUCAUCCCCCCAGCAAGAAGAAUGACUCAACUGGAAAGUUUUACCAUGUACGACUAAUUGUAGGCCAAGGAACAAUAUCAAGGUUUACGUCUUAUGUGAAGGACAUGUCAUCAUAUGUAGAAUCUUAAGUCAAAUGAUAAAACGAAGAGGUUGUAUAGAUUCGUCCCUUAUUUUAAUCCUUACAGCUUUCAGUUGCAAGUAUCAUUUUCAUUCAGGAAUUCACAGCCACCUGCUAACCGUGUCAGAAUUUGAUAAUGAACUGGACUACUCGUUAAGUGAUCAGGGCCGUGCUGAUGCAAGAGUUUGUCCGCACUCUUUCUGCUGCCAAUGCCCAUUGAUUGUAGAGCAAACGUACGUCCACAAACGUGACUGGCAUUUGUUAUUGUUGUUUGUAUUGACAAGAUCAUUCGAUUCGAGAUGAUAAUUGGAGACGGAAGCUGCUGACGUAGAAACUGGGAGGCCAAUGUUUUGCGUCAGUAAAGGUGCACGUGACGGGUGCACACAUAAGUACGCAUACGCCUUAUGUACGUAAUUCAGCUUUCACAACAUUCUGGAAAAAUGGCUCGCUCUAAAUUUGAGGGCGUGUAAAUAUCGAAUUGGUACAUCAUUUACGUAGGCCAAUCACGUCUUUGCAUCCAAAUAACUGCACUACAGUAUUUUUCUUUCCGUGGUUCUAGUUAACUAUAGCCUAGAACAACAAUGCUAUUAUGGUUUCACCGAUUGGGUAUGCCGUCCGAGAGUCACGUGACGCUGCAUCUUCGUUGAUCAUUCCAAACACACCUGUUGUUUCAAUUCGAACGCACUGUCCUUUACUAUUUAAACCUCUGUCCAGUCUUCAGGUCAGAUUCACAUAGUAUUUCGAGCUCACGAUACCGCACUGCUGAGAUUCAGCGCUAGCUUUUCCUAUACUGAAUUAUCCGAUGAAGCUCCAUCAUUUGUCCAUCUUCCUGUUAGUCGUGCUGUUGACGCUAGCCUCAUCAUCAGUUGAAGCGGGACGUCGACGCCGUCAACUGGACGCUAGUCCCACUGUUUACAGGGCUCGGUUUAAUCGUCCUUUAGUGACUAGAAAUUCGGUUAGGCAGCCUUCCGCACGUCAGCCUGUGCGCUAUCGCGCUUACAUCCGUGACACUGCGGAUUUAAGCAAUUUGCGCUACCGAAUCCGCAUUCCCAGACGGCCGGACGUGAUUAAUGCAGGAAGACCCAUCCAUAACCCGCGAAGGUACAUGAAAUUUGACUACGAGCAUCCAGACCACUAUCACAUCUAUCACAGCUAAUCGACACGUAUAGACUUGUGAGUUUUAUUGCGUCUCAUCAGUUGGGAGGUAUAUAUAGGUGUAGCUACAUCUCAUAAAAUGGAGAAAUCUUUGGCGUUACUCUUUAUCCCGGAUGCAAUGUGCGUUAGAUUCCUAGCGUCAUUUUUCAUCUUCAGCCCAUAAUUGCAACAUUUUAUGUAUAUAUACACAUUAUUUGAUCCCUAUAUGCCAUAACUUUAAAUAAAUUGUAUUCUUAUCUAAAUGUGUGGCCAAUAAAUGAUCCAAAGCUAA